rnacentral:rRNA from 12 species
UUCCGACCUGCACGAAUGGUCCAAUGAGUUGAACACUGUCUCCUCCACGAGCCCGGUGAAAUUGUAGUAUCGGUGAAGAUGCCGGUUACCCGCCACGGGACGGAAAGACCCCGUGAACCUUCACUACAACUUUGCAUUGAUUUUGAGCAACCGAUGUGUAGCAUAGUUGGGACGCUUCGAAGCAGUGGCGCCAGCCAUUGUGGAGCGGUCGUUGAAAUACCAACCUUCGUUUGCU